AUAGUGCCACAUCAUCAUUAUAUUCUCUGUCUCGCGAAUAUCAUCUACGUUUCCUCUUCCUUUUUUUCCCAAUAAAGAUGGUCUUCAUGUUCAUCUUCCUUUCUCUCAGCGUACAAUUUUUUACUCCCACAAACUCUUUGUCUGCCUUUCUUUACAAUCCAAGCUUUAUUCGAUUUGAAACCAAAAGGAUAACUCAAACCCUAUAAAUAAGAGAAGUUUGCGAUUCCAAUCCCCCUACACCGACACCUUCUAAUCUUUCAUCUACUUGCCAAAAGCCAGACACCUCCUUCAAGAAUGUAUUCCUCUGACGUUGUUGUUGCCCAAUCAGAUAUAACUCAACCUUUGAUGCUCUCCGAUUUGGUAGGACUUCCCAAUACAUUGUUGGUCGUCUCCUCCUUUUCUGUGGUUCGCUGGGAUUCGCGCAACAUAAAAAAAAAGGGGUUACGGGAAUCAUCCUCCUUUUCCUUGAUGAAAAGAAUUAGGUGAUUCAAAGAUUCAUCCCAUCUGCUCGCGCCGAUCACUACCGUCCAUCUUUAGUGGACGGUUCCAUUAUAAAACUUGAUAGGAAUUUAUGCUUCAGAAAUUCCUGCCAUGAGAGAGUUCACAGCCAGCUUGGGAGGUGCAGCAGGAGAGAUCGGAACACUUUCAUCUCCAACUCUAAUCAGCAGACGCGAGAAGCUGAUUUCAUUUGCAAAGCGCCGAUUGUUGAGGUCCUCCACCAGAAUGGCAGGCCGUUCGUUGCUUGCAUCGGGUGCAACAGAAGUUGGACAAAUGUGGCACUUCUCUUCGUUGCAACAAAUGCGUUUCUCCCAACGUUACCGGUGUUACCCAGGCAU